rnacentral:rRNA from 1 species
UUGGGUCCACUUCGGUGGGCGCGCACACAGGUGCUGCAUGGCUGUCGUCAGCUCGUGUCGUGAGAUGUUGGGUUAAGUCCCGCAACGAGCGCAACCCACGUCCUUAGUUGCCAUCAUUCAGUUGGGCACUCUAGGGAGACUGCCGGUGAUAAGCCGCGAGGAAGGUGUGGAUGACGUCAAGUCCUCAUGGCCCUUACGGGAUGGGCUACACACGUGCUACAAUGGCGGUGACAGUGGGACGAAAAAGGAGCGAUCUNGAGCAAAUCCAUCAAAAAGCCGUCUCAGUUCGGAUUGCACUCUGCACCUUGGGUGCAAAAAGCCGG